AGAAACUUAAGUUAUAUUAAACUAGGAACCUUCAAAGCUCCAAAUAAAGCACUACUUUAGUUUCUGCC
rnacentral:tRNA from 1 species